rnacentral:lncRNA from 1 species
UUUUUGUCUUUUUGCUACUUCUUGGGCCGCUCCCGCGGCAUAUGGAGGUUCCCAGGCUAGGGGUCGUAGCUGUAGCUGCCAGCCUACGCCAGAGCCACAGCAACGCUGGAUCCAAGCUGUGCCUGCAACCUACACCACAGCUCACGGCAACGCCGGAUCGUUAACCCACUGAGCAAGGGCGGGGACCGAACCCGCAACCUCUUGGUUCCUAGUUGGAUUCGCUAACCACUGCGCCACGACGGGAACUCCCUUUUUUUUGUGGGGCGGGGGGCAGGAGCUUUGACCUUUGGUAGAAGAACACAGCCACUAGCAGCCUGGCUCGGAGGAAGGUGCCAAAGUGAGCAGUCAGAUUUCACUCUCUUCCACCCUCUGAACUCCUCUGCUGAGAGCGAUUCUCAGCCAGAAGCCAGAGGGGAAGGGGUCUGCUUAGGCAAUUCUUGAAGUUCAGCUUUGCAAGCUCAGCAGAGAAUGGAAAGGUAGAGGGUUGCUCCAAGGGGAGAAUAUUCAGCACAGAUGGACUGUCCCUUCCCAUCCCCUUGAAAUUGGCUAUGGCUGACUUUUCUGGUGCAUUCAUGUCUAGGUCUCCCCUGACAAAUUACCAUAGAUGAGGAGACUUAAAACAAGAGAAAUUUAUUCUAGAAGUCUGAAGUCAUGGUGUCAGCACAGCCAUGCUCUCUCUGAUGGCUCUGAAGAAGCAUCUGUUCUUAUCUCCUCUAAGCUUUUGGUAGAUCCUAACAAUCCUUGGAGUUUCUUGGUGUGAGCUGAAGCACUCUACUCUCUGCCUCUGUCUCCAGAGAGCCUUCUGCUCCCUCUGUUGUUCUUUCUUCGUAUAAGGACACCAGUCAUUAGACUUAGGGCCCAUCCUGUAUUUGGUAUGGUAUCAUCUCCAGAUCCUUUAACUAAAUGCAUCUGCCAAGACCCCAUUUCCAAAUAAAUUCACAUUCUUAGAUUUCAGGAGUGGACAUGAAUUUGGAAGAGAUACUAGUCAACCCACUAGAGACAGUAAAGUGUGCUAAUUCUGGGCAAAAGUGUAAGACCUAGCAUGGGAUUUGCCACUCUAUCUGUCCCUUCCCCGUUACAAUCAGCUGUGCUCCAGACAGUGGCUGCUCCCUCUGCCUGGGUCCUGGAGUGAAGAUGGAGCCCAGCAGAGCCCCAGCUGAUCUACAAAGGGAAUGUAACAAGAAUAGAAAUAAAUGUGUCAUUUCUCCUGAAGGGAUAGCAUCUGAAGUAUUUAAUGACCACAGUCCAGCCCUUCAGAGAUAUUUCCGGCAACUUAUGCAGCUCUCCAUUUCUUGCCUCACAUACAAAACACCCUUGAAGACUGGUGUUAACCAAAACCACUUUGCCGGCUCACUGUCCCUCUUAGUCCCAACUCCACUGGCAACAUUUUACUGCCUGUUGUUUCUCUUUGGGUCCAAGGUGUAGAAAUAAAUAGAUUUUAAAGGCAGCCUUUUGUUUCCUUAGAGGGACAAGUUUUCCAGAAGAAAAAGAAUGAAUGCUAGAGCACAUGGGUAUCCUUUGAAAUGAGCUGCAGAGGAGCUGUGUUCAUUUCAGGCUCACAGUCUUGUCACCAGUUUCAGAAGAAUUCUGCACCUGCAGCAGCCAGGAAUAUCUGCUGAGGAACCUUUGUCCUCUACCUAAACCAGGACUCUUCAGCCUGGACUGGAAGGCUCCCAUGUACCAACUGCUCCUGCUGCUGCUGCAGCUGCAACUUCUACUCUCUCUCUCCCCAACCACAGGCCCCAUGAACCCCAAUAGUAGGAGGAAAAGGAAAAGUAAUCAAAAUGCUGUGCUUAAAGGGAUGGUUCUCCAAGUGUGGUACCUGGAUCAGCAGCAUCCUCAGCCCCUGGAAACUUGCUGAAAUGCACUCUUGGACCUUUCUCCAGAACCUCUGGAGUGGUGCCUAGCAAUCUGUGUUUCAGGGAGUCUUCCAGGAGAUUCUGGUGCACAGGAAAGUUUUGGGAGCCACCGGCUUAGGGUUUGAUCUCAGAAGUCAGGUGACCUGCCUAGGAGUUCAUCCAUCUUGGUAAAAAUAUCAUCAACUCUUCUGUCCCCUUUUAAUUGGUGGGGAAAGACCUGCCUGUAGUGCAGUGGAGAAUCCUUGGGAUCCUGGUUAUCUCCUGGCCCUCUGGGCAUUUUGUAUUAACUGUAAGUCACAAGUACUAGCCUGUCUGUGGCAGCAUCCAGGAAACAGAAUCAUGGCAGCUACACGAGAAGCCUCCCACAUGCAGGGUUUCUCUGACGUCUCAUGGUGAAGGACAACAUAUCUAACCUUGUUCUGAGCGAAACGGACAUGUACUUCCAAGUGGCUUGAGAAUCUCUUUAGUUCUAUAUUUAGUCAGUUUACAAGGAGUUUGAGAUGGAUUUUACUGUUUACCAAGGCCUUUCUUGUGUGUCCAUCAUAGUACUUAGGACUGGAAAUCUGUGCUAAUCUCUUGUGAGUUUCCAC